rnacentral:rRNA from 1 species
CCUACGGGUGGCAGCAGUGGGGAAUAUUGCGCAAUGGGCGAAAGCCUGACGCAGCGACGCCGCGUGAGGGAUGAAGGUCUUCUGAUCGUAAACCUCUGUCAGCAGGGAAGAACGGUCACUUUGCUAAUCAGCAGUGAAUUGACGGUACCUGCAAAGGCAGCACCGGCUAACUCCGUGCCAGCAGCCGCGGUAAUACGGAGGGUGCGAGCGUUAAUCGGAAUUACUGGGCGUAAAGCGCUCGUAGGCGGUAUGUCAAGUCAAGGGGGAAAUCCCCGCGCUCAACGUGGGAACUGCCGUUGAAACUGGCAAACUGGAGUGUGUGAGAGGAUAGUGGAAUUCCAGGUGUAGGAGUGAAAUCCGUAGAUAUCUGGAGGAACAUCAGUGGCGAAGGCGACUAUCUGGCACAUAACUGACGCUGAGGAGCGAAAGCGUGGGUAGCAAACAGGAUUAGAUACCCCAGUAGUC